rnacentral:rRNA from 1 species
UACAGAGGGUGCAAGCGUUGUUCGGAAUUACUGGGCGUAAAGCGCGUGUAGGUGGCGAUGUAAGUCGGGUGUGAAAUCCCUCAGCUUAACUGAGGAAGUGCACUCGAUACUGUGUCGCUUGAGUGUUGGAGGGGAUGGCGGAAUUCCCGGUGUAGAGGUGAAAUUCGUAGAUAUCAAGAGGAACACCUGCGGCGAAGGCGGGUUGCUGGGCCGACACUGACGCUGAGGCGCGAAAGCUAGGGGAGCGAACGGG